UUUGAGAGAUAGAGCAUGGAGUAGUUGGUUCAGAAGAAAUUGAAGGGUUUUGGUGGUUUGGAGAAGAGAGAAUUAGAGAAAUGCAGGGAAGGGGAGGGAUUUUUCAUCGAGCUGGGCAUGGGCAGCAUUGAUUUUAGUGCAAAGAGAGGGAGUGAGGGAGUUAGUAGCAAAGGAGGGAGAUGAGUUUGAAGGACUGAGGGCAGCGACAUUUUGGAAGAAGCAUAUUAAG
rnacentral:misc_RNA from 1 species